UUUGGUAGGCCGGGCGGUUUGGGGUCGCCUCUUUCUGGAAAUCCUCGUGAUGCCGGAGCCGUCAACCAGCUGGACGGGGAGGGUUCUCGGACACGGCGCCGCUCACCCGGGUUGUCGAUGGUCUGUCCUCCGGGAUGCCGGGGGCUGUGAACCGGGUCAGGCCCUGGCGGGAGCAGCCCUAAGCAGUCUCCGUCAUGUUCGGAGGGUAGCGGACCUGAGACCUGGGGCGGUGGUCGGCCGGAAACCCUCCUCAACCUCUGGGAACCAUA
rfam:Candidatus Nanosalinarum sp. J07AB56 genomic scaffold scf_7180000039101, whole genome shotgun sequence.